GAUGAAGAACGUAGCGAAAUGCGAUAAGUAAUGUGAAUUGCAGAAUUCAGUGAAUCAUCGAAUCUUUGAACGCACCUUGCGCCCUUUGGCCAUUCCGAAGGGCAUGCCUGUUUGAGUAUCAUGAACACCUCAACUCUUCAUGGUUUUCCGUGAUGAGCUUGGACUUUGGGGGUCUUGCUGGCCUAUGGUCAGCUCCUCUAAAAUAAAUCAGCUUGCCAGUGUUUGGUGGGUAUCACAGGUGUGAUAACUAUCUACGCUUGUGGUUUUCCACCAGGUAACCUUCAGCAGUGGAGGUUCGCUGGAGCUCACAGAUGUGUCUCUCCUCAGUGAGGACAGCUCUUUGAAUGUUUGAUCUCAAAUCAGGUAGGACUACCCGCUGAACUUAAGCAUAUCAAUAUGCGGAGGA
rnacentral:misc_RNA from 1 species